GUCUACAGCCAUGCCACCCUGAACAAGCCCGAUCCCGUCUGAUUUCGGAAGUUAAGCAGGGUCGGGCCUGCUUAGUACUUGGAUGAGAGACCACCUAGGAAGACCACGUGCUGUAGGCG
rfam:Pteropus alecto contig168696, whole genome shotgun sequence.